rnacentral:rRNA from 1 species
ACAACUUUUAACAACAGAUCUCUUAGUUCUAGCAUUAAUAAAGAACGCAGCGAAAUGCGAUAAGUAGUGUAAAUUGUAGAAUUUAGUAAAUCAUUAAAUCUUUAAACGCACAUUACGCCCCUUAGUAUUCUAUAGGGCAUGCCUAUUUAAGCGUUAUUUGUACCCUUAAGCUCUACUUAGUGUUAGGUGUUUGUUCCACUUAGGACUCGCCUUAAAACAAUUAGCAGCUAGCACAUUAGCCUAGAGCGCAGCACAUUUUGCGCCUCUUGUUAUAGUUGUUAGCAUCUAUUAAGACACUUUUUAAGCUCUUAACCUUAGAUUAGGUAGGGAUACCCGCUAAACUUAAGCAUAUUAAUAAGCGGAGGAAAAGAAACUAACAGGGAUUGCCCUAGUAACAGCGAGUGAAGCGGCAACAGCUCAAAUUUAAAAUCUAGCUCUUUUAGGGUCCAAGUUGUAAUUUAUAGAGGGCGCUUUAGCGUUAGCAGCAGUCCAAGUUCCUUAGAAUAGGACGUUAUAGAGGGUAAGAAUCCUGUACGUAGUCGCUAGCCUUCGCCGUGUAAAGCCCCUUUAACAAGUUAAGUUGUUUAGGAAUGCAGCUCUAAAUAGGAGGUAAAUUUCUUCUAAAGCUAAAUACUAGCUAGAGACUAAUAGCGCACAAGUAGAGUGAUUAAAAGAUAAAAAGCACUUUAGAAAGAGAGUUAAAUAGCACGUGAAAUUGUUAAAAGGGAAGCGCUUGCAGCUAGACUUGCCUGUAGUUGCUUAUCUAGGCUUUUGUCUAGUGCACUCUUCUAUAGGCAGGCUAGUAUUAGUUUAGGCAGUUAGAUAAAGGUCUCUGUCACGUACCUCCCUUUAGGGAGGCCUUAUAGGGGAGACAACAUGCAACUAGCCUAGACUAAGGUCUGCGCAUCUGCUAGGAUGCUAGCGUAAUAGCUAUAAGCGGCCCGUCUUAAAACAUAGACUAAGGAGUCUAACAUCUAUGCAAGUGUUUAGGUGUUAAGCCUAGACGCGUAAUAAAAGUAAAUAGAGGUAGGACCCCUUUUAGGGUGCACUAUUAACCAAUCCUAAUAUCUUUAGAAGGAUUUAAGUAAGAGCAUAGCUAUUAGGACCUAAAAGAUAGUGAACUAUGCUUAAAUAGGGUAAAGCUAGAGGAAACUCUAGUAGAGGCUUGUAGCAGUUCUAACGUGCAAAUUAAUCGUUAAAUUUAGGCAUAGGGGCGAAAGACUAAUUAAACUAUCUAGUAGCUAGUUCCUGCUAAAGUUUCCCUUAGGAUAGUAGUAACGUAUUUAGUUUUAUAAGGUAAAGCAAAUAAUUAGAGGCCUAGGGGUUAAAACAACCUUUACCUAUUCUUAAACUUUAAAUAUAUAAGAAGUCCUUAUUACUUAAUUAAACGUGGAUACUUAAAUGUACUGUUACUAGUAGGCCAUUUUUAGUAAGUAGAACUAGCGAUAUAGGAUAAACCAAACGCGGGGUUAAGGUGCUAGAAUGCACGCUUAUUAGACACUACAAAAGGUGUUAGUUUAUCUAGACAGUAGGAUAGUAGCUAUAGAAGUUAGAAUCCGCUAAGGAGUGUGUAACAACUUACCUGCUAAAUAAACUAGCCCUAAAAAUAGAUGGCGCUUAAGCGUGUUACCUAUACCCCGCCGCUAGGGCAAGAUUUAAGCCCUAGCGAGUAGGCAGGCGUGGAGGCUCGUGACGAAGCCUUAGGGGUAACCCUAGGUAGAACGGCCUCUAGUGCAGAUCUUAGUAGUAGUAGCAAAUACUUAAAUAAGAACUUUAAGGACUAAAGUAGGGAAAGGUUCUAUGUAAACAGCAGUUAGACAUAGGUUAGUUAAUCCUAAGAGAUAGGGUAAUUCUAUUUUAAUAUCAGCGCUUGCGCCACGCCCUUAAAAGGGAAGCUAGUUAAUAUUCUAGCACCUAGAUAUAGAUUCUCCGCGGCAACGCAACUAAGAGCGGAGACCUUAGCGGGAGCCCUAAGAAGAGUUCUCUUUUCUUCUUAACAGUCUAUCACCCUAAAAUUAGUUUGUCUAGAGCUAGGGUUUAAUAGCUAGAAGAGCGCUGCACUUUUACAGCGUUUAGUGCGCUCCUAACAAGCCUUAAAAAUCCACUUAAAGAAAUAGUUUUUACGCUAGGUCAUACUUAUAACCGCAGCAGGUCUCUAAGGUAAAAAGCCUCUAGUUAAUAGAAUAAUGUAGAUAAGGGAAGUUAGUAAAAUAGAUCUGUAACUUUAGGAAAAGGAUUGGCUCUAAGGGUUAGGUACGUUAGGCCUUAGGGAGAAGCCUCUAGCGUAGAAGGGCACUAACCGCAAGGUAGGCGCCUCUCAGCGCUAGGGUGCAGACACCCUUAGCAGGUUUUGGCCAUCCAGCGUACGUUUAACAACUAACUUAGAACUAGUAUAGAUAAGGGGAAUCUAACUGUCUAAUUAAAAUAUAGCAUUGCAAUAGCUAGAAAGUAGUGUUAACACAAUAUAAUUUCUGCCUAGUGCUCUAAAUAUUAAAGUAAAGAGAUUUAACUAAGCGCGGGUAAACAGUAGGAGUAACUAUAACUCUCUUAAGGUAGCUAAAUGCCUCGUUAUCUAAUUAGUAACGCGCAUAAAUAGAUUAACAAGAUUCCUACUAUCCCUAUCUACUAUCUAGCGAAACCACAGCUAAGGGAAUAGGCUUAGCUAAAUCAGCAGGGAAAGAAGACCCUGUUAAGCUUAACUCUAGUUUAACAUUGUAAAAAGAUAUAGGGGGUGUAGAAUAGGUAGGAGCUUUGGCGCUAGUAAAAUACCACUACCCUUAUCGUUUUUUUACUUAUUUGAUAAAGCAGAGCUAGGCCUUACUACCUAACUUCUAGCGUUUAAGGUCCUUUGUAGGCUAAUCUAGGUUAAAGAUAUUGUUAGGUAGGGAGUUUGGCUAGAGCAGCACAUCUAUUAAACUAUAACGCAGGUGUCCUAAGGGGGACUUAUAGAGAAUAGAAAUCUCUAGUAGAGCAAAAGGGCAAAAGUCCCCUUAAUUUUGAUUUUUAGUGUGAAUACAAACCAUAAAAGUGUGGCCUAUUAAUCCUUUAGUCCCUUAAAAUUUAAGGCUAGAGGUGCUAGAAAAGUUACCACAGGGAUAACUAGCUUGUGGCAGCUAAGCGUUCAUAGCAACGUUACUUUUUAAUCCUUUAAUGUCGGCUCUUCCUAUUAUACCAAAGCAGAAUUCAGUAAGCGUUAGAUUGUUUACCUACUAAUAGGGAACGUAAGCUAGGUUUAGACUGUUAUAAGAUAGGUUAGUUUUACCCUACUAAUAACCUUGCCCUAAUAGUAAUACCGCUUAGUACGAGAGGAACCGCGGUUUCAGAUAAUUAGUUUUUGCGGCUAUCUAACUAGGUAUUGCUGCGAAGCUACUAUCUACUAGAUUAUAGCUAAACGCCUCUAAGUUAGAAUCUAUGCUAGAACAGGGUAAUUUCCGCCUGCACUAGUUAGAUACAAAUAGGCCUUUGGCCCAGAACCUUACCAGAUCAGCGUUAGCAGCCCUAUUAAAGUUAGAGUUGUUAGCUAGUGUAUUAUAAUUGUACAGUGCGCAGGAUUAAAUCCUUUGUAGAUAACUUAGUUGUCUAGCCAGGUCGUGUAAGUAGUCAAGUAGCCUUGUUG